AGGAUCUGGAGCAGAGGAGCACAACUGCCGGUGACUCACUCAUCCCUGUGGCGCUGGAGGCUGCCCCCACUCAUGUGGGUCAGUUUGGGGUUGGAAACGUUAGCGUGCGGCGAGCGGGAUCCGAUCGGCGGCCUGCGCUCAGGCAUGCGGGCCUCCGUGAGGACGUCGGACCACCCAUCCUGCCCCUCACGCCCCGACACGAAGCCAGCGCGACACCAGCAGCAGAGGAGGACGGGGAACCGCUUCCAGCCAAGCGUCCUCCCUGCUCCUCAGGACAACGCCGGCUUUGUUCGGGUUAAUUGUGCGCAGACAUCCCCUCUCUCUUACACCCACCGGGCCUCCAGCGCCCGCCGCGGAGACGCAUUCCUGACAAAAAAAAAGAGGCCGAAUCUGGCUGGUGUGGGCUUGGCAUGGCGCUGCAGCAGGACUGCUGAGUGAAGGCUUGCGGAGGAAUCCACCCCGAGAGCAGCUCGGCUUACGCUCGCUACACGGGAGCCGCGAGACGGUGGGAACGGACGAGCUCCGGGCCCGGUAGCCGGAGCGGCUUCAUUCACCGGGUUCUGGCAUCCGGGGGAUCACCGCAUGCAUCCGCGGCACGCACAGCACGGUCCCCAUGGCGCUCGUAGCGCUCGUAGGCCGCGCCGUCUAACCGCAGGCCUGUUUAAGUGCGUCUAUAUUCAUCACGCCAUGUCUUCGGUAGGAAUAGCUGCUCACCAGUGGCGCCUUUUGUUUUCCGAGCCGGCGGCAAUUACACAUAAAUAGGCCAAAACAAACAGCGCUAAGAAAAUGUUAUCGUCGCUGUUUUGAUUUACGGCCACUGUCACUGUCUCCCGAUCCGGGCUCAGAUCAAAUCCUGGCUCCUAAACGUGAUGAACUAAAACACUUAUCCAAUAUAAAUGACGUCUCGCGAGCGAAACCGGCGCAGCCAUGCUGGAUUAUACAUGGAUUUACUGACGGAGCCCAUCUGGAAGUCAUUUGCUUCAUCAAGCAGACUUGUUGAGGGAAGCGCGCGUGGUGCUACAGGCGCGUCAGUGCAACGGCUGCCCCACGCGAGGAAAGUGAAGUGGAUCAUUGAGCCCAGCCGAGCAGGAGUCCAAUCAGCUCUCACUGCUACGAAUGGACUCCACUGGGCAGAACCCGGCGUUAACCCCUCACGUCAGCUGCAGCUACUGACGUUCACAGACUGGGACAUGGUGGGACCAACAUAAAACAGGCCGCCCACCCCUCCACUGCUCCUUGGACGGCACUUCCACCCACACCCAUACGGCUCCGAUGGAAAUUCGUCUGGAACUUUCCCGGCACCAAUCCAUGUAAUGGGUGUGGCGCUGGAGGGAAGCGGCGCACGGCUGGAUCCUGGGAGUGGAAUUAAACCCCGCUUUGUCUUCGUGGACGGAAAGAACCGGAGGGAGAGACGCACAAUUUGUGCAAUCGGACAACAACCAUCGAACCUUUACAGCCAUGUGUGCUAUUGAACUUCAAAGACAAAUACAAUUAAUAAUACUGAGGAAGUGAGUUUACGGCUCUGACCUAUGACCCCUGCAGUCUGUGCUGGGUAGAAUCCAACCGUUUGUGCAUCAGGGUGAAGAAAGUAAAAUAGGUCUUGCAUCUCAUUUGUGUAAUUCGAGGCUGCAAUGCAAAGACUCCUUGGCAGCAGUUAGACACCUCUGGCUUGUUUCCUUUAUCCUCCCCCAGUACACACACACACGCACGCACGCACACACACACACACACACACACACACACACACACACACACACACACACACACACACACACACACACACACAGUGUCCUGUCUCUGCCCUGUCAUAAUGCCCCCAGUGUGGUCUGGCACCGUGGCUGGUCCAUCUAUUAGAAGCUGACAGAGCAGCUGACUGGGGCCCUUUAUUCUCAGCCAGUCCAUGAUUAUUUUUCUCUCUUAAAGUCGCCGUUCUAAUCUUCAGUGAGUGGACCAGAUGGUGCCUGGUUACGUUUGGCCAGGAAGCUGCAGCUCAGGUAGAUGUCGACCCUCUAUGUCACUGGUUCCGGACCUUUAGAAGCGACCUGUGAUGGGCCUCUCACCUUGGUGAUGUAAUAGACGCACUGCUGGAAGGCGAGCAGGACGACCUCCUCCAGGACGGCCAUUGUCUCCUCACUCGCUGAACUGACACAUGACAGAUGAAGCUCCUUCAUGGCUGAAAACAUCAGGCGCCGGGAUGAAAGAGAGGCAGUUGCUGCUGGAUGAAGUGCAACAGCUCCAGACUGUUGGACAUCCACACCACCAGGGGGCGAAGUCCCGGGACGGCCUCCUGCAGGCUGAAGGGCGGUAGGCCCUCUGGGUUUGGCCCGUCAACGUCGAG